rnacentral:rRNA from 1 species
GUGAGGAAUAUUGGUCAAUGGGCGAGAGCCUGAACCAGCCAAGUCGCGUGAAGGAAGAAGGAUCUAUGGUUUGUAAACUUCUUUUGCAGGGGAAUAAAGUGCAGGACGUGUCCUGUUUUGUAUGUACCCUGAGAAUAAGGAUCGGCUAACUCCGUGCCAGCAGCCGCGGUAAUACGGAGGAUCCGAGCGUUAUCCGGAUUUAUUGGGUUUAAAGGGUGCGUAGGUGGUUUGAUAAGUCAGCGGUGAAAGUUUGCAGCUUAACUGUAAAAAUGCCGUUGAAACUGUCGGACUUGAGUGUAAAUGAGGUAGGCGGAAUGCGUGGUGUAGCGGUGAAAUGCAUAGAUAUCACGCAGAACUCCGAUUGCGAAGGCAGCUUACUAAGCUACAACUGACACUGAAGCACGAAAGCGUGGGGAUCAAACAGGAUUAGAUACCCGGGUAGUCC